GAGAGCGAGUCAGAGGUGAGACCAGAGCUACAACAUGUGUUGUUCCUGCUCUGUUAGAGGCUGGCUGCUUUUCUUCACAAUCCUACAACUGGUAACGCAACACUUUAAUAUGUUAUUGUAUUUAUUUUAAUCAAUCUAUAACGGAUACUUUUUAUAUAUAUAUAUAUAAAAGUGGUGUCCAAUAUUAUGAAUAUAUUUAUUUUAUAAUAGUUUUUCUCCCUAAAUGUAUUUUUCUUCAGAUUGGUGGCAUGACUUUCAUUGUCACCCCUUGGAAGUAUUACAGGAGUAGUGAAAAUGACCUAGAUGAACGUCUGUCUCCAGUCUGAUGGACUAUCUUCACAGCAGGUGUGGUCUCCAUUAUCCUUGGCAUCACGGGUCUGCAUGGAGCUCGUAAGAAGAACAAGAACUUCCUGAUAAUGGUACGUUCAGUUCUUAAAGGAGCAAUCUGGGAUUCAAACAUUGCCAUCAUCCUGCUGCUAUUUUGUAAACCGCUGAGGGAUGGGGCUUGAAAAAUGUAACCACACCCAAACCCUAAGAUGGUUGAACUAAGCUCCUGAGGCCUUUAUAAAUUAUAUUCUUCAAUAAUAAAUAGCUACAUAUUGUUAAUUUAAAAGUCCAAUAACCGAUGGAUCAAUCCCAGAUUUCCCCUUUAUUAAAGCCAAAAUCUCAUUAGUAAUGUCAACAAAUGAAAUACUUUAUUAUUUGACC
rnacentral:lncRNA from 1 species